GGAGUCUGGUCCGUGUCUCAGUACCAGUGUGGGGGACCUUCCUCUCAGAACCCCUAAGGAUCGAUGGCCAGGUGGGCCGUUACCCCGCCUGCUGCCUAAUCCUACGCAUCCCCAUCCCAAGGCGAUGAAUCUUUACUCCUCAUCAGAUGCCAUCAAAAGAGACCAUCAGGUAUUAAUCCGACUUUCGCCGGGCUGUGCCCUACUAAGGGG
rnacentral:rRNA from 1 species